GGGGGAGCUCAUUGGUAGAGUGUGUGCUUAACAUGCAUAAAAACUUGGGUUUAAUCCCCACACACCCA
rnacentral:tRNA from 1 species